GUGAGGAAUAUUGGGCAAUGGGCGGAAGCCUGACCCAGCAACGCCGCGUGAAGGAUGAAGGCCUUCGGGUUGUAAACUUCUUUUGUCGGGGAAGAGAGAGGACGGUACCCGGCGAAUAAGUCACGGCUAACUACGUGCCAGCAGCCGCGGUAAUACGUAGGUGACGAGCGUUAUCCGGAAUUACUGGGCGUAAAGCGCACGCAGGCGGCUGCUUAAGUCUGACGUAAAAUCUCCUGGCUUAACUGGGAGGGGUCGUUGGAGACUGGGCGGCUUGAGGCAACGAGAGGGGUGUAGAAUUCCCGGUGUAGUGGUGGAAUGCGUAGAUAUCGGGAGGAAUACCAGAGGCGAAAGCGACACCCUGGCGUUGAACUGACGCUCAUGUGCGAAAGCGUGGGGAGCGAACGGGAUUAGAAACCCCUGUAGUCC
rnacentral:rRNA from 1 species